UCUGGUGCCAAUGGCAAAGAGGUCACACCUGUUCCCAUGCCGAACACAGAAGUUAAGCUCUUUAGCGCCGAUGGUAGUCGGACUUGCGUUCCGCGAGAGUAGGACGGUGCCAGGU
rnacentral:rRNA from 1 species